UUAAUUGAGAGGAUACAUAGAUUCUUUUUGGAGAAGAAUAUAGUGCAGAAUUAAUGAUAAAUUCAGAGAAUAAGCAACUUUUAAAAAUGACAGUUGUUCAGGGGAAACAGUUGCACAAGUAGAGAAGGGUAAUCAGAAUAUACCACAUAGUGCAGCUCAAGGUAACAUUUGCAAUAAAUCCUGAAUGUUGACAGAGUGCUCUUGAGAGAGUAUCCCAUGCUGGAGCAGUGGGGAUGGUGAAAGGGACUCAGACUACCUUACAUGGCAGGAAGCAUGAAGAAGUAGCAAAAUAAACUUGUUUGGAGAUACAGAGUAAAUACCAAAAGAAACAUCUAGAUGAGGUGAGAGUGGUUGCCUGUGAGAAGAAGGAAAUUGUAGAGAGGGUAGGGGCUUACUUUUUAUUGUGAUAGGCCUCGUAGUUAUAUCUGACUCCUUCCACUGUGUGGGUAUACACCUUUGAAAGUAAAAAUUAAAUCAACAUGAAAAGUGAGAGAGAGAUUUCCCAUCUUCCCUUUCGAUCCUUGCAGUUAGAGGAGCAAGGUCGUGAGGCAAGGAGCCGUAGGUUUGUAGCCGCCAUUUCUUCUGCCUCCGGUCUCUAGAUCUUUUGUAGAGCGUCCAACAGCGCUAUGUUGGGACAGAGCAUCCAGAGGUUCACAACCUCUGUGGUUCGUCGGAGCCACUAUGAGGAGGGUCCAGGGAAGAAUAUACCAUUUUCAGUGGAAAACAAGUGGAGGUUACUAGCUGUGAUGACUUUGUACUUUGAGUCUCGAUUUGCUGCACCUUUCUUUAUAGUAAGACACCAACUGCUUAAAAAGUAAUCCAUGAGACAGAUAGGAAGAGGAGCAUAGUAAGAGGUGCAGUCUCUUAAAAGGAUCAGUCCCUUGAACUCAGCAUCCUAGAUAUGUUUGUAAAUAAACUUAUGGCAUAAAUCCUUAAUGCCUCUUCUCUGAAAUAUGGAACAUGAUAAUUGAACAUGUGCUUA